rnacentral:rRNA from 1 species
CCUACGGGUGGCAGCAGUGGGGGAUAUUGCACAAUGGGGGAAACCCUGAUGCAGCGACGCCGCGUGUGGGAAGACGGUCCUCUGGAUUGUAAACCACUGUCCCCAGGGACGAAGAUGACGGUACCUGGGGAGGAAGCUCCGGCUAACUACGUGCCAGCAGCCGCGGUAAACCGUAGGGAGCAAGCGUUGUCCGGAAUUACUGGGUGUAAAGGGAGCGUAGGCGGGUUGGCAAGUUGGGUGUUAAAUCUACCGGCUAAACUGGUAGUCGCACUCAAAACUGCUAUUCUUGAGUGAAGUAGAGGCAGGCGGAAUUCCUGGUGUAGCGGUGAAAUGCGUAGAUAUUAGGAGGAACACCAGUGGCGAAGGCGGCCUGCUGAGCUUUUACUGACGCUGAGGCUCGAAAGUGUGGGGAGCAAACAGGAUUAGAUACCCCUGUAGUC